GACGAACGCUGGCGGCGUGCUUAACACAUGCAAGUCGAACGAAGUGGCGAACGGGUGAGUAACGCGUAUUCAACCUGCCCUUCAGAGGGGGCCAACAGUUGGCAACGACUGCUUAUACCGCAUACUGAAGGAGGGGAUUGCGUCUGCUUAGUUAUUUGGUGCGGUCACGGCCCACCAAGGCGAUGUGCAGUAGCCGGUUGGAGGGGAUGAACGGCAACAUGGGGACUGAGACACGGCCCAGACUCCUACGGGAGGCAGCAGUGGGGAAACUUCCGCAAUGGACGAAAGUCUGACGGAGCAACGCCGCGGGAGUGAUGACGGCCUUCGGGUUGUAAAGCUCUGUUAAUCGGGACGCGGUACCGGAAUAGAAAACCACGGCUAACUACGUGCCAGCAGCCGCGGUAAUAC
rnacentral:rRNA from 1 species